rnacentral:rRNA from 1 species
GAUGAACGCUGGCGGCGUGCCUAAUACAUGCAAGUCGAGCGAGCGGACGAGAAGCUUGCUUCUCUGAUGUUAGCGGCGGACGGGUGAGUAACACGUGGAUAACCUACCUAUAAGACUGGGAUAACUUCGGGAAACCGGAACUAAUACCGGAUAAUAUUUUGAACCGCAUGGUUCAAAAGUGAAAGACGGUCUUGCUGUUACUUAUAGAUGGAUCCGCGCUGCAUUAGCUAGUUGGUAAGGUAACGGCUUACCAAGGCAACGAUGCAUAGCCGACCUGAGAGGGUGAUCGGCCACACUGGAACUGAGACACGGUCCAGACUCCUACGGGAGGCAGCAGUAGGGAAUCUUCCGCAAUGGGCGAAAGCCUGACGGAGCAACGCCGCGUGAGUGAUGAAGGUCUUCGGAUCGUAAAACUCUGUUAUUAGGGAAGAACAUAUGUGUAAGUAACUGUGCACAUCUUGACGGUACCUAAUCAGAAAGCCACGGCUAACUACGUGCCAGCAGCCGCGGUAAUACGUAGGUGGCAAGCGUUAUCCGGAAUUAUUGGGUGUAAAGCGCGCGUAGGCGGUUUUUUAAGUCUGAUGUGAAAGCCCACGGCUCAACCGUGGAGGGUCAUUGGAAACUGGAAAACUUGAGUGCAGAAGAGGAAAGUGGAAUUCCAUGUGUAGCGGUGAAAUGCGCAGAGAUAUGGAGGAACACCAGUGGCGAAGGCGACUUUCUGGUCUGUAACUGACGCUGAUGUGCGAAAGCGUGGGGAUCAAACAGGAUUAGAUACCCUGGUAGUCCACGCCGUAAACGAUGAGUGCUAAGUGUUAGGGGGUUUCCGCCCCUUAGUGCUGCAGCUAACGCAUUAAGCACUCCGCCUGGGGAGUACGACCGCAAGGUUGAAACUCAAAGGAAUUGACGGGGACCCGCACAAGCGGUGGAGCAUGUGGUUUAAUUCGAAGCAACGCGAAGAACCUUACCAAAUCUUGACAUCCUUUGACAACUCUAGAGAUAGAGCUUUCCCCUUCGGGGGACAAAGUGACAGGUGGUGCAUGGUUGUCGUCAGCUCGUGUCGUGAGAUGUUGGGUUAAGUCCCGCAACGAGCGCAACCCUUAAGCUUAGUUGCCAUCAUUAAGUUGGGCACUCUAAGUUGACUGCCGGUGACAAACCGGAGGAAGGUGGGGAUGACGUCAAAUCAUCAUGCCCCUUAUGAUUUGGGCUACACACGUGCUACAAUGGACAAUACAAAGGGCAGCGAAACCGUGAGGUCAAGCAAAUCCCAUAAAGUUGUUCUCAGUUCGGAUUGUAGUCUGCAACUCGACUACAUGAAGCUGGAAUCGCUAGUAAUCGUAGAUCAGCAUGCUACGGUGAAUACGUUCCCGGGUCU